rnacentral:rRNA from 1 species
AACGAACGCUGGCGGCAGGCCUAACACAUGCAAGUCGAGCGAAGCCUUCGGGCUUAGCGGCGGACGGGUGAGUAACGCGUGGGAACGUGCCCUUUGGUACGGAAUAGCCCCGGGAAACUGGGAGUAAUACCGUAUGUGGUCGAGAGACGAAAGAUUUAUCGCCAAAGGAUCGGCCCGCGUUGGAUUAGGUAGUUGGUGGGGUAAUGGCCUACCAAGCCGACGAUCCAUAGCUGGUUGGAGAGGAUGAUCAGCCACACUGGGACUGAGACACGGCCCAGACUCCUACGGGAGGCAGCAGUGGGGAAUCUUAGACAAUGGGGGAAACCCUGAUCUAGCCAUGCCGCGUGAUCGAUGAAGGCCUUAGGGUUGUAAAGAUCUUUCAGUGGGGAAGAUAAUGACUGUACCCACAGAAGAAGCCCCGGCUAACUCCGUGCCAGCAGCCGCAGUAACAC